ensembl:lncRNA
GUACCACGGAGUACACGUGACUCGUUUAAAUCCAACUCUGGUUAUGAUGUCGGACCUCCGGUAUCCACACUGGAAUCCUGCCCUAUCCCCCCAGGCCGCAAGACAUUGGUGGAGAAGUUGUUCACUUCCCAGGUGUAGCUACGCCCCUGGAAGGUGAAUGCCAACCAACAUUCACACUCAGGAUGGACGGGCAUGGAGAAAAAUGCAUUCGCCAAAUCAACUACUGGACAAAAUGGCAAGGUGAUCAUGCACGACCCCUUCGCCAUGCGGCCGUUCUUCGGUUACAACUUCGGCGACUACCUCGCUCACUGACUGAGCAUGCAGACCCGAAAGGCCCCCACUCACCUGCCCAAGAUCUUCCACGUAAACUGGUUCAGGAAGAACCCGGCGAACGGCGCCUUCCUGUGGCCCGGGUUUGGC